rnacentral:rRNA from 1 species
UACAGAGGGGGCAAGCGUUGUUCGGAAUUACUGGGCGUAAAGGGCGCGUAGGCGGCCCGCUAAGUCGAACGUGAAAUCCCCAGGCUCAACCUGGGAACUGCGUCCGAUACUGGCAGGCUUGAAUCCGGGAGAGGGAUGCGGAAUUCCAGGUGUAGCGGUGAAAUGCGUAGAUAUCAGGAGGAACACCGGUGGUGUAAACGGCUUUCUGGACCAUAACUGACGCUGAGGCACGAAAGCGUGGGUAGCAAACAGG